rnacentral:lncRNA from 1 species
CUCCAUUAUGCCACAAUAGGAAAUGAAUGCACUAGUCCUCAUUUCUGUCAAUAACCCUGUGGAUAUUGCUGAUCUCCAUCAAAUCUGAGGGGUUUUGCUUAACAAUGCUUUACUCUGCUCCACUGGUUAGAUACAAUACUGUCUGCUUCUAACAAAUUGCCACCAUUUAUCAGCAAUUAACGCCGGCCUAAAAUGGAAGGGAAAGAAACCUCCAAGGAUCAGAGAGGAGAAUUUCACUUUCUGACCUUCCAAUCUGUGCUUAAAAGCUGUCAAAGCAAUGAUUUCUUGACAUCUUGGAAUCUGGAGAAUGUAUAGCAUAGCUCCAAUGCAGGGAUUAAAAGAAUGAAGAAGUUGUCGCUACAACUACUUCUGCCCUUGCACCAUUAAGAAAAUAAAAAUCAAGCCUCACAUUGAGAGGAAAUGUUUCCAUAUCUAGUAGGUAUAACACCUAUGAAGGACUUAUAUCCUAACUUCUAACCUGUA